rnacentral:misc_RNA from 1 species
GUGUAAAGCUUUAAUUGUUUUCUCACCUUCUUACACUCUUACUGUGUGAACCUUUUUAAUUUGGCGUGUUCCUUGGCCAAGUCGUCUAGGCGUAGACUGUGGUCUACACUACAAGCCUAGCGGGGUCGCCUUAGGCCGUCCACAUUAGCCUAGCUAGUGGAGCGGUAGCCUUGUAGCCCUAAUGACCCAUCAUCGUCGCUUAGCUUACGCUUACGCUUAGGCUAGCGCUAGCAGCGGUGAUGGAUACAUACUAUACAAGCGCAGGCAUGCCGUAGCUUUAACGCUAAAAUUUGUUAGGGAGUGGGCUAAUUUUUAAGCAUUCAGUUUAGUGGGCUCUUUGAGUUAUUAUUAAGUA